rnacentral:pre_miRNA from 1 species
UGAGGUCAGCUGCUCUGACGAUGUUGCACUACUGUAACAUCCAUUCUAGCAGUGCAAUAGUAUUGUCAUAGCAUCCCGCCUCCGC